CAGCCGCCACGGUAAAACGAAGGGGGCUAGCGUUGUUCGGAAUUACUGGGCGUAAAGCGCACGUAGGCGGAUAUUUAAGUCAGGGGUGAAAUCCCGCAGCUCAACUGCGGAACUGCCUUUGAUACUGGGUAUCUUGAGUAUGGAAGAGGUUAGUGGAAUUGCGAGUGUAGAGGUGAAAUUCGUAGAUAUUCGCAGGAACACCAGUGGCGAAGGCGGCUAACUGGUCCAUAACUGACGCUGAGGUGCGAAAGCGUGGGGAGCAAACAGGAUUAGAUACCCUGUAGUCCCUGUCUCUUAUACA
rnacentral:rRNA from 1 species